UGUAUUUGGGCUAAAACAUUCUUUGUGGGUGUCCAAUUUCCUAUAAUAUAAAGUCAUCAUGUUUUAGGCAACUAAGGAGUCCUGGUAAAUAUGUCACAGCAUUGAGGCUGGUGGAUUACCAGUCUUACAUUUGAUCUAGAACAACGAUGAAUAACACUUCAGUCCACAUUUGUAUUCACCCGAUCACUCUAUGACAAUGUAAAAACAAAAAUAAA